CCUGAACUUUGAGCUAGAUAAACUAACUGAAUCAGAGUUUGGAUUAUCUCUCCUGGAAAGGGAACAAGUAUGUUCUAUUUGUGGAAAGAAAUUUGCAUCUAAAUAGUUGGGUAGCUGAGCAAAUAUUGUACCAGAGACUGCUAUCUGUCUACCAAAUUCCAUUCUGUCCUUCCUUUAUGGCAAAUACAGAUUAAGAAAGAAACCUAACCAUGUGUGGGAAGAGGAGGAAUAUUUUAGAGGACUAUUGCAAGAGCCCAGUAAGAUAUGAGGGUGGCUUGGUUGGGAAUGGUGGCCGGGAGGGAGCACAACCAUUUCCUGGACUUACUGUGAAUUUUGUCACUGGACACACUCAUGAAUUAGAUUAAGCUGGACUUGGCCACAGCAGAAAAGGCAGAGGCUAUUAUAAUUACACUACUUUAAGAUCAAAGUCAGAAUUGCAGUUUAGGGAAGAGUGGUUAAUAUUAGAGAAUUAGGUUAAAAGAGUUGGGGAAGAGAGCAGAAAGAAGCCCAGGAAUUAGAAGACAUGUUAACUUCUCAAGUGGGGGAGAGGAUACAAGAUCCUGAGUUAUCCAACACCUAACACAAGGAACCAGAGGCUAUAUUCAAAUUAAUUUUAUAGAUUUGUCUGCAUUUCACUGUAUUGACCAUUGGAAGUCUUUACUGACUUCUGUGAACUCCUUGAACAUAUUAUGCUUAACUCUGUAAUGGUCAGUUAUAGUUCAAUUAGCCUCUAAGAUAUGGAAUUAAUGACCCAUGGAAUGUAGCAGCAGUCUCCAAAGUUGAACACAUCAGGAUAACCUAGAAAGUGUGUUAAAAUACAUGCUUCAUGACCCUCAGUGAUCAAACAAGUGCCUGGUAGGAUGGAACAAUGUACUGUAAUCAAAACAUGAUAACUUUUCCAAUGCUAGUAAAAGUUAUAAAUUCAAGUCUCAUAACUUAAUUAUAACUAUAAUUAUAUUAUUUUAUUAUCCAACCAUGUACUUUUUACUUUUUGAAUUGGCUAAAAUUUACCAAUGUCACUUUUUUUCUUUCCUCAAUUCUUUCUAUUACUCUCUUUACAAUCAAAAUGCAGCAUAAUCUAUCAAGCAGAAAGGAACAUUCUAUGCAGAAAAGAUUUGGAAAACAUGAGACAUGAAAGGGAGGAAAGAUGAGACAUGAAAAGAAAAGAGGAAAACUUAAGAGUCAUGGCCAGGUAUCUUUACACUAGCAACUAUAAAUGAUUGAUGCAAGAAUUUAAGCGCCAUCAGAAAUUUUCUUGUUGAGGACAGUGCUUUUCUGAGACUAAUAUGGUAUUGUUUUUGUUUGUUUGGCUUGCAGACUCUAUACUAGAUGAUUUUUACCUUUGUCUUAAAAGAUAUCAUUUUUCCUUUACACACAAGAAAAUGAAGGCUCAGAGAAGUAAUUUGUCCAAAAUAUAUACAGUGUCCAAGUGAUGGAGAGUUUGAGUCUAAACAGUUUUGCUCCUGCAUUUGCUGGCUUAACCAUUCUGCUGUAGAGUCAUACUCUUGCGAAACUGCAGAAUAAUAACAUAACUGAGUUUUUAACAUAAAUGAUAAAAAUAACAAACUGUUUUAAAACUUAGCACACUAGAAAGGAUUAUAAAAUUGUCUAUCUUCAUUUCCUAACUUAAAAAUGAAAAAGUUAAGAUCAGAAGACACUAAGAUAAAGGUCAAAGUCAUAUUGUUAGUAAAAAAACUUGACAAACCAGUUCUGAUUUCCAACUUAGUGUGCUACUGUUUUAACCAAACAAAUUGGAGAUUUACAAAGUUAAUCAGAACUCCAUAUGGAUAAAAUAGGUGUGACCGGUAAAGGACUUUUGGCCAUAUGAAUGAAAUUUGGUUUGCAGUUUAAUAAACAAAGCAGGUAUUAAGGCCAGUGUGUUGUUUAAUGCUAAUGUAUUAAAGAGCAAAGAUUUUAAUCCGAAGUCCAUGUGGUGGUUCAAAAGAGAUGCGAAAGCUUUCCAUUUCCUCCUGGAAUGCUGACAGCCAGAAGGAAUACCACUCUUGCCGUUGCAACUUUGUCACAUAUAGCUAGACAAACUACAAAUUCAUCACUGGAUAGGAACCCACCAAAAAGUUGAGGGUGCACAGUAAUUAACCUGAAAUGUAAGAAAACUAUCUGCGAGGGGAGAGAGAUAUGAAUACUCAUUUCACCGGAGCAGAUGCAACUACACACCAGUGAAAAUUAGUUAAAGAAUUCAAUGAAGAAAUGGGCAGAAGCCAAAUCUCAGAAGAGCCUUCAGCUACAGGCAGACAGCUACAAGCAUUGCUGCGCUUGCACUGGGGAAAAAAUUCUAGCUGUAUAGAAGGAACAAAAAAGGUUCUUGGCCUCAGAGGAAAGGCUGGAAUAUGUGAAUAGCCCUUAACUAUAGCUGUUGGAUGUGCAGAAGCACCGAGAAAGUCACAACCUCAAGAUCCAGGGACAAGAGGCUGCAUCAUACCAAGGAUUAAGGAGAAUAACAGGGACUUUCCCUCCGGCCUCCUUCUCCCCAGGCUAACAGUCAUCAGGUAACAGGCAAUGUUGGAGUAUGGACAGAGAAAGCAAGCACAUCUGAAGCACAGUGGAAGAGAAUGCAAAGCAGAUAACAGAGAAACCCUCUGCAAAUAAGUCCCCACCUUACAGUCAGAUGUCUCUGAAAGAAUUUGAAUACUGUUACCCCUGUUACCCUGAGUAUAAGAUAGCAUCAGGAAUCCUCAAACUCAACUCUUUUACUUUCCUAGAUCAACUCAAUUACUGUGAAUAAAGUCCUAGCAAAAGGAAAGGUAUGUCUAUAUAUAAACAUAGAAACUGUCUGAAUUUCUCUCUCUACACAAAUGCCCAACUCUCAACAAAAAUUACAAUAAAAACAAAUAAGAAAAAGCAACAAAUUAGCAAGAAAAAAGCAGUCAAUAGACCCAAGCUAUGAAAUUGAUCAGAAAGGAAAUUUGAAGUAACUAUGGUUAAUAUAUUGAAGGCUGUAAAGAAAAAGAUGGACAACAAAUAAUAACAGGUAGACUAUUUCAGCAGAGAUGGAAACUAUGAUAUGGAGUAAAAUGGAAAUGUUAGCAAUGAAAAGCAAAAUAACAGAGAUGUGUAUAACAUUUAAGGGCUUAUUAGAAGACUCAACAUAGCCAAGGAAAGAGUUAUUCAGCUUGAAAAUAAAUCUUUAAACAUUACCCAAAAUGGAGCACAAAAAGAUCCAAACUGUGUUCCUUAUUUAUUGUUAGUGAAGGCUGGGAUGUAGCUCAGUGAUAGAGCACUUGCCUAGAGUAUGCAAGGUCCUGGGUUUACUUCCCUGUUGUACUCAGAGUUUGGAACUGGAACAGUUUUCAGGGCUUGGGAUAUUUAGCAAACAUGACAAAUACAAUUCAAAUUUGUUUUUACUCUUCUAAAUGCCUGAGUGAUUCCAGGGUGUAAUCACAAGAAACUGUUUUCUCAAACAGUCGUCAAUACCAAAUUAGAACCUGAAGAGAUUCUUGUUCUGGUUUGGAUCCAUUCAGAAUGAAAAUAAUAUGCAUUUUUUAUAAUAUUCACUAAUUUAACAGAUAACGUUUGUUUCUUAAUUACUUAACAUUCUGGUUGCCUAAAUCCUUUCCUUCUUCACAAAUAGCAUUUGCCACUCUUUCCCAUCGUCUUAUGAAGUAUCAGAUUGUUCAUUCACUAAAGAAUGCUCGUGGGUAGGUGUGCCAAAGAACUUGGAGGGAUGCUGUACACAUGGUGUCCUAGGUCUCCUGUGAGGUUUGUUUCCUGGAGGAGUCCAGAAAGAAGCUGUUCUCUGCUGAACCAUGGGUCAAGGAAAAUGUUGACAGAACUAUCAACUCUCAAUUUCCUAAACUUGGCAGGGUUCAAACUUCCAAGACAAAGCUGAUAGUGUCAAGGUAAACAUGAAGGUUUUUAAUAUGGAUACCAAUCUCUAGGAAGGGCAUUAGGAAAUCCCUCAGUUAUCACGGUGAAACCACCAUCACCACUCAGCUAAGGUGCAAGUAGCAAUCAAGUCAUUCCUGAUUAUCUCAACCAGCAAUCAAGACUUUCCCCUGGGAUUGGUCUGACCUCGGAAGACAAUGAGGCAAGUCCCAACAAGGAGGAGCCAUCUGCUCGGACGGCAGGGUAGAGAAUAUGACAUAGACUGGUGCACAAAAGCCAUUUAAGCAGAACACUAGGGAGAGACCUUGAGGUGACUUCCACAGCCCAGUUGCUGUUUCUUUUUUGAGAAAGUGAGCAAUGGCCCGAAGCUAGAAAUGCAAAAUGCAUCCCUCAAUAUAAGUAUUCAUCACACACCUAAAUCUUACAUUUUAUAGUUGUCAGACAUUUUAGCUUUCACAAAGUCUGAGUUUAGAUUUUGAAAGGUUUUUCACAACUUUGAAGUGCAUUUAGUAAAUGUAUAGUCUAAUUUUAUCCAAACUAUUAGCUCCAUACCUACAGAUGGCUUUGAAUGUACCAAAAGAAUUUAUUUUGCUAGAUAUGAGAAGUGGCUGGUUCCUCUGACAUGGCAACCCUGUAGUUGUCACCUCUUGGGGAGUUUCACAGUGAAGUUAGUUGUUAUUAAAAGGAACAUCAGAAUUCAGCUGGAGUCUUGGAAGAAAAUCAAGUUUUGUCUGUUUGUACAAAGAUAAAAGUCAGUGUCAGAUUUCUGAGCUCUUUAGAUUAGAAAGAUGUUUGGACUUGAAAAAUAAAGACCCAAGAGAAGGAGGUGUUCAUAUUAGAGCUGCUAUGCUGUCAUGAGAGGAUCUCUUAGAUCUCUUAUAGCAGGGUCAUUGGGGAGGAAAGAAGAUUAUCAAUGUGACUGUCAUACUGAAGGCAAUUUUUAUCAAGGUCCAAAAGUAAAUUUUCAAUAAAUAAUCUGAUUCUUGCUAAAUGACUCACACGGAGGUGGCUUUGAUUCUCACUCAAGUAAACAAAAAUUCGAGACAGCAUAGGCAAUGCUUGUUGAAUUUACUUGGAUGAAACUGUUUAUUUGAAAUAAAGCACAAAGCUAUUUUCUUUUUGCUGCAUUGUGGGUGCAAUAUCCAUAUCAUGACAUUAAGUAGGAGAGGAAUGGAACUAUGGUAUUGCUGUGGGUCUCUCAGAGUGCGAGAGAGAUACUACAGACAAAAGAAAGUUCUAAACGUUAAAGAAGUAAGUUUUAAUUUUGCUGCUUGAAAUUGUAGUAAUCACUGAUAGGUACUUAAUUUAAAAUUAUUUUUCAGUUGAACAAAAAGGGACUAUGCACAAUAUAUAGCUUAAGAGUAAUAAGUUAGGGGGCCGGGGAUUUAGCUCAGUGGUUCCGGCGCCUGCCUUGCAAGUGCAAGGUCCCGAGUUCAAUCUCCGGUACCCAAAACAAAGAAUAAUAAAUUAGGAAAGUAAGGUAAAAACUUAGAGUUGCCUCUCUCACAGAUAAUAUUUUUAGCUUGAAGACAAUCUGACCAAUGUGAGGUUCUGGGAAGUUAAAAAGAGCUUCCGAAAUGAAAUGUUGCUGAGACAUAUAUUUUAACUUAUAGUUUGCGAGAUUUGUUUUUUCCCCUGAUGAUAAGUGAGGAGAGAGCAACUGGAGAAAAGCAAAGAUAUGUUUCAGUUGAGACUAUGCCAGAACAGUGACUCACAGCGUCCUAAUCAGGCAGGCAUGACAGCUCAUUGAAUAAGGCCCACCCCACCCACCCUGGAAAUUGUUCUUUGCCCAAGCUCAGCACCCUGAAAACGACUUUCUAGACAUGUCACCAUGCUUGCUGUGGAUUGUCAAGGAAACUAUGAAAAUGCUGACCAAGGCAGGGGUUAAGUUAUUAUAUGACCAAGGCUGCCUUUUCAGAUAGGCUCAGCUCUGAGUGUCUGUGUAUUUGCGCACAUGUGCAUGUUUAAUUAAAGAAGCGUUUUUAUGUAUGUCUUUUUGAUUUGCUGUACAUUUUCCUAGCAAUUAAUAUUUAUGCAUAUUUAUAUGACCCACCCAUCUUUUGAUAAAAAUUGCCAUAAUCAUUUCUGUUUAUGUUUUUUUCACAUAUGACUUGUAGGAUUAUAUGGGUUAAAUAAAUUUAUGGCUUAAAGGAACUUUUAAACUCCUCAUCUUGUAGAUGGAAAAUAGAGGCCUUAUCCACCAGGGGUGGCCUUUGGUCAGCCUCAUAUAACAGCCAGGACCAAAAUCCAGUCUCUCUACUUAUGUUAUGAGUUUAAAGAAUUAUUUCAACAGUUAUACAAGAUUGAAUAUGCUUUACAAAUUGUUGUUAAUGAAAACUGCAGAAACACUAAGUAUUUUGGUUUAAAUUCAUGGUUUCACAGCAUGACCAUGCCUUGAAUCAUUUCGGAAAUUAAAAAAAAAAAGAAAAUUUGAAAAAAGAGUUAAAAAAGAACCAAUACAGAUCUAGUGACUCAGAAUCUGAUAAGGGUGUACCAAAGCAUUAGAAUAUUUAGAAAAUUCUCCUGUUUUUAAUGGAUUUCUAAUGUAGUGUGUAUAGAUCAGUGUUGAGAAAGCAGGCAUAUGUCUAUUUUUCAAGAUGAUUGGAUAGAAAGUAGGCUGAACUAUCCAGCUAAAGUAGCUAAACUAGCUACCUACUGAAGAAAUAAAAUCAUAAGAGUUUAGCUUAGGGAAACUCAACUAGUUUUAAUAUCAAGCUAUUUCUUUCAUGCUCUCUCGUCACUAUUUCAUUAUGGCAGUUGUAAGAGAAACUCAGAACCUCCACUAUUAUUAAAAGGCAAACCUAUUGGCUUUUGCUAUGAACAAAAGGACUGCUAGAAUAUUUUAAAACAGGAACUUAGUGUUUUGAUUGAAUCCUAAAUAAAUACCCAAUAGAUAUUAAUGAAAUCUACUCUGUUAUUUCUUUUCUUUCCUUUUCUUUUUUUUUAAGUAAUUGCAGGAUCUCUGUAUUGGUUGGUGUGAAGAAUAACACAAUAGGGGAGAUAACAGCUUCCUGGGCCCUAUUAUUGAUCAAAUGGCAAAUCUGGCCUCAUGAAAAUCAGGCAAAAUCACAGGCCGUACUUUAUGUGCACAGGUUACAUUUCACAUAAGAUUUUAUUAAUCCUAGUAGUCAAAUCUUUUCUAUGAUCUUCCUAAUUUGUGCCCCUGCUCAUGACUUCAAUGGCCUAUCUAAUCAAGAGACCAAGGAAGAUGUUUCUGACUGUGUCAUUUUUGAUAUCCCAAUUAGGUCCGGAUGCAACAGCUUGGACCUUAGGGACAUCAUUUGUCAUAGGGGACCGCUAGUGUGUUCUCUCCUUAAUGCUCUUUCAGUAUCCUGGGGCAGCAUGUUCCUUCCCCUGGAGAUCCAUUCUCCUUUCCUUUUGUCUUCACAUUUGUAAUAUUUCUCUCAUCAGGCCACAGGAGUGGACACAUGACUCAAGACCAGCAGCACAAAGUCUUCUUAGGAUUAUUUCAAAUGGCAACUAGAAAAAACCAAAACAAAACACUUCCCUUCUCUGUUGAAGGCACAAGACAAUUCAUCAUAGGAGUGAAUUUCAGGCAAAGGAAGGGGGCCCUAAAAGGGCAUAAAAGCUUCCCUGCAAUCUUGGAGUCCUUUUCUAUCGUCCUGUGAUCCCCCUUUCCUACCAUCCUCUGCUUCAGUUCUUUGCUUCUGUGAAGCAAUAGGCUUUUCUUUCCAGUCUCAGUAGUAUGGAUGGGCUUCUGUAACUUGUAACUGAAAUGGCUUUAAUUCAAGAAAACUUCAAAAUGCCCUAGAUUUCACAUGCCAUUUAGGGGAAAUCCAUACUGUUUGCCUUUUUCCCACAAUGGACUUGAAGAGAUGGGAUGGCCGAAGCAACUUUACUGCCAGCUGUUCUCUCAGAAAUUUUUGUUGCUGGAUAUUCUCUGGAAAAAUUGAAAGAGAUAACAAUUGACAACAACAACAAUGAAAGCCUCUUAGAAAAUGUCAGAUUAAGCCCAGAGGAACAGUAAAGACAGCAGAUCUCAAUAGUUGUUGACAUUUGUAUAAUACAAAUACAAAAUUACAACAUUUUGUAUUUAUGGUUUUGUGCAAAUACUUGAAAUGCACACAUCAGUUCUUCAAUAGAAGAAGCAUAAUGUUGUGUUUUCAGUUCAAAAUACCAGUAAAUUUGGAAAAAUCUUCCUGAGUAAGCUAAAUUUAUUUUUAUGUGUUUUAAAGUGCUGAUAGGACCUUAUUUAUAUUUUUCUUCAAUUUACAAAGAUUUUUGUCUUUCGACUAAUUGUAUUAUUUUAUCAAGAACUUUAACUGAUUUGAAAUGAUCAAUUCUUUUUCCCAUUAAGUUUAUUGGUACAUUUUAGGUAUAAAAUACAGUUACAUUCACCAUUGGGAUCUUGUAUCAUUACAUGAGUAUCUUGGUUCUUUUUUUUCCCCCUUCCUCUGCCCUCCCUUCACCCCCUCCACCCUUCUCUAUUUGCAAAGAUUUUGUUUCCAUUUUUUUCCUUUUCUCAUAUUUUUUCUUUUUCCUUCUUUCCUUUCCCCUACCCCUCCCACUUCCCCUGCUCCUUUAGAACUUUACUUCCUAUUACACAAUAUCAAUUAUACAUUUUAAAAAUUAAAAUAUCAAGACCUAGGAGACAUUACCAGAUUUUUCAGAAUUUAAAAGGAUAUAGAAAGCAUAUUGCAAAAAUCUGUUUUGCAAUAAAUUUGACAACUUCUAAGAAGUACCUUAGAAGACAAAUUAAUGAAACUAACUCUGGAGGAAAUAUAAAAUUUGAAAAGCACCUAUUAAAGAAAGUAUAUUCCUAGCUUGAAAACCUACCUAUAUGACAACAACAGGCUCACAUACAUUUUAACUGAUAAAUUAUAUCAAACAUUUAAAGCAGGAAAGCAAAAAGGAACACUUCUCCCCUCAUUUUAGGAAAUUAACAUUGUGCUAAUCCUAAAACUGGGUAAAGAUAAUAGAAGAAAAAAGCAUGAACAUAGAUAAAAAUUUGUUUAACAAAACAAACUAUUAGAAGUCAGAUCUGGCAGUAUGUAGAAAGUGGUUUUAUUAUAGGGAUAGCAGUGUUGGUUCAGCAUUGGAAGAUCCACCCCUAAAGUCAUCUGAAAUGAUCAAUGUUAUUGCCAGAAUUUAUCGCUUUGAUCCUGUGUUAUCUAUAAUAUUAGUUUGGGUUUAUACUUGACCUAAGCAUAUUAAAUAUUUUCUAACUUUCAAGCAACAAUACUAUCCAAGUAUUUCUUUUAUGUUCUGAACAAUUAUAAUUAUGUUUCAUAUAUUUGCAUUAUUUAGCACUUGAUAAAGUUUCACUUUUGACAUUCAUAGUAGUGUUUAGGUAUAUCAUGUUUUUAUUCAUAUUAGCCCAGUUGACAAAGCCUUUUGUAGUUUCGGUCUCCAUACUCAAAUGUUUGAGUCAUAAUCAAAGAACCAUCACAGUUUUAGAAUUUGCUGAAUGUGGUAUUUCUUGCAUCAGAUGAAGACAUGAAUAACACGUUGUAUGGCCACAGGUGAUGCUGACUAUAGGCCAAUUUGUAUUUGUGACCUGCAUGAGAGAAUCGAUAGGCAUGUAUUUGCAUUUCUAAUCACUAAGUACUUAUUGAGAACACACUGGAUGCUAUGCUCAGCAUUUGAUAUAUAAAUUGUGGACGAGUCGACAUGAGUGUAGGGCAUGAAUUAACCAACACAGCAUCAUUAUAAAACACAGGGCCUAAAUUGUACUUCUCCUUCACUUUCAUUAGAAAUUCAAAAAAAGGAAAAAGUAGGCUAGAUUUGUUUAUCUGGAAAAUACAAGUACUGUGUAGUAUCAAAAUGAUAUAGGCAGAAAAAAAGCAAAGAGAUUUCAGCCAUCUGAAGUAGACUCCUCCUAUGUAAUACCUUGAUCAAAUGCUUAAUUUGCCUACAUCUGACCUGACCAAUGGAGUCAAAGAACUCAGUACCUUGUGAGGAGGUCCUUUGUCCCAUCUUAGUUUAAUCAUAAUGUUCUUCAUGUUUAAUUGAGAUUAAUCAGAACAGAAACUUCUGGCCCCUUCUGGCAAUUGGGCCUCUACUGUCUGGAGAGCCUAGGGUGUUCAUUCAAUCUGACACCUGUCAAGAAGAGCCCAGCACCCCUCUUCUCAUCCCAUGUCCUCCACAAAAGGAAUGUUCGUGUCUGUGAGGUUUCCUGGAGUUUGUAAAAACCUGUACAUUGCCCAGGAAAAAGAUGCUCCAACUCUCUUAUCUUUAUUUGGAACAGUCCAUGCUAGAGUUUUUUUGUUUUUUGUUUUUUUAAUGCGAUGGAAGAAAAGAGGAAACAAUGGAUAGAGAUUUUUAACUUGAUACUUUCCCAGGUUCCAGGCCUUCUGGCGGAAGCAGGCCUUGAAGCCUGCGUAUGCGUCACUGGAUUUAAUCCUUCUAGCAACACCGUGAAAUCUGUAUCCUUCUCUGUAUUCCUUAUGAGAAAUUUGAAGCUUGGAGAAAAUAAAUAAAGCUGAACAUUUUCUCUUCACCCAUUGUGGCUUUCUGUUUCCUUCUUUUAAAGAAAGUUCUUUAUGAAGCUAUGCAUUUAGCGUGAUCUUAUACAUUUUUAUCCAAUCUAGUACAUUUUUGGCAGUGAUAGGAGUCAAUGUUUUAAGUAUGUCCUCACAAAACAGACUGUCUGAAUAAAGCUGAACCUCUGGUCACCAUAAUUUAAGGUCAUUCAUAAGCCCCCAGGAAGUCCUGGCUAUAAGCAUUGUAGUUUAAAGACUUGGCUGUAGUCACUGAAGCUUUGGUUUCUCACUUGCAUGGCCUCUGUCUCUAUGUAGAGUAGAUGAAAAGAUCAUUUUACAUCAGCUUCCACUCUGGAUGUUUUCUUAUUUGUAGAAGGGGUGCAUGUGAACCUACGUUCACUUGGGUACUUAGCAAAAUUCCCAACAAAAAUGACUUCUUUAGCUCUCCCAGGACAGUGGUUGAGAAGACAUUCAGUUCCAGAUGGCAGUGUUCCUGCUACUCAGAGGGCAGGCUCCCUUUAUCUGUCAACUGAUUCAGUUUCUCAAGGGCUGAACAGGUUGGGACUGCUCUCCAACCUUUGCCCAUUCCUCUGGAAUUGCUAUGCCUACAGAUCUCGGUAAAACAUAAAAUUAGUGUUUGUAGAAUCCCUCUUGAGAUCCUUGAUGAGAGAUGGGUUGAUACUAUAAAGUAGUAUUAUCAUAAAUAGACCCUGGGAUUAUGUUCUGGGGAUUAUAAACUAUAGUCUCAACAUUUAACACCAUAUGAGAUGAAUGUCAAGCAUCCACUUGCCAGUAUCUUUUAUUUUCACUAUAUUGUAUUAAUGAAUGUUUUAUCAAUCCAUAGUAAAAAAUACUUUGCGU
rnacentral:lncRNA from 1 species